AGCGAACGCUGGCGGCAUGCCUAACACAUGCAAGUCGCACGGUUCGGGGGUUUCGGCUCCCGGGCAGUGGCGGACGGGUGAGGAACGCGUAGGGAUCUAUCCACAGGUGGGGGACAACCGCGGGAAACUGCGGCUAAUACCGCAUGACGAGCAUGCCUUAGCGGGCAUGUUCCAAAGUUUGCAAGAGCGCCUGUGGCGGAGCCUGCGUCCGAUUAGCUUGUUGGUGGGGUAACGGCUUACCAAGGCAACGAUCGGUAGCUGGUCUGAGAGGAUGAUCAGCCACACUGGGACUGAGACACGGUCCAGACUCCUACGGGAGGCAGCAGUGGGGAAUAUUGGACAAUGGGCGCAAGCCUGAUCCAGCAACGCCGCGUGGGUGAAGAAGGUCUUCGGAUUGUAAAGCCCUUUCGGCGGGGACGAUGAUGACGGUACCCGCAGAAGAAGCCCCGGCUAUCUUCGUGCCAGCAGCCGCGGUAAUACGAAGGGGGCUAGCGUUGCUCGGAAUGACUGGGCGUAAAGGGCGCGUAGGCGGAUCGGAUAGUCAGGCGUGAAAUUCCUGGGCUCAACCUGGGGGCUGCGCUUGAUACGUCUGGUCUGGAGUGGGGAAGAGGGUCGUGGAAUUCCCAGUGUAGAGGUGAAAUUCGUAGAUAUUGGGAAGAACACCGGUGGCGAAGGCGGCGACCUGGUCCUUGACUGACGCUGAGGCGCGAAAGCGUGGGGAGCAAACAGGAUUAGAUACCCUGGUAGUCCACGCCGUAAACGAUGUGCGCUGGAUGUUGGGGGGCUUAGCCCUUCAGUGUCGCAGCCAACGCGAUAAGCGCACCGCCCGGGGAGUACGGCCGCAAGGUUGAAACUCAAAUGAAUUGACGGGGGCCCGCACAAGCGGUGGAGCAUGUGGUUUAAUUCGAUGCAACGCGAAGAACCUUACCUGGCCUUGACAUAGUAGAGACUUUCCAGAGAUGGAUUGGUGCCUUCGGGAAUCUACAUACAGGUGCUGCAUGGCUGUCGUCAGCUCGUGUCGUGAGAUGUUGGGUUAAGUCCCGCAACGAGCGCAACCCUUUUCCUUACUUGCCAGCAUUUCGGAUGGGAACUUUAAGGAUACUGCCAGUGACAAACUGGAGGAAGGCGGGGACGACGUCAAGUCAUCAUGGCCCUUACGGCCAGGGCUACACACGUGCUACAAUGGUCGGUACAAAGGGUUGCUACACAGCGAUGUGAUGCUAAUCUCAAAAAGCCGUCGUAGUUCGGAUCGCAGUCUGCAACUCGACUGCGUGAAGUCGGAAUCGCUAGUAAUCGCGGAUCAGAAUGCCGCGGUGAAUACGUUCCCGGGCCUUGUACACACCGCCCGUCACACCAUGGGAGUUUGUUGCACCAGAAGUAGGUAGUCUAACCGCAAGGAGGACGCUUACCACGGUGUGGCCGAUGACUGGGGUG
rnacentral:rRNA from 1 species